rnacentral:lncRNA from 1 species
GAGUGCAACAGCUGAUCCCUUUCGGAGUGGAGUUUCCUAGCUGGUGCCUGUCCUCUCUUGAGCCUUUGUUUCUUGAGUGAGCACUCACUGGGGCUGUGGCUCCAUGAACUGGAUUUCAGGAAACCAGCCAAGGCAUUCUCUCUCUCUCUCCAUUCCUAGAAAGGCAGAAAGCCUGGGAAUGGGUUCGGCAGGAAGAUCUCUGUACCUCAAUCUCCAUUGCUUUCAGCACCACUGGCUUUCUCCCCAGCUCAAGUGCAAAACCUGCCAUCGUUGCUACCUGGGGUGCCUCAGACUCACCCAAGUCCCCCAGGCCAGAGGACAUGCUCUCAAGCCUUGUUUCAGAAAGAGGGACCCAAAGGCUGUUAGGGAAGAGAACCAGGGUCCUCAAACCCAGGGUUUUCUCACCCACUGCCUCUGCUCUGGCUGUGGCCUGCCAGACCUCUCCUCUGAUUUUCGCUUUCCUUCCUGCCAGUGCCUUUGUUUAUCCGAGGCGCCAAGAUCCCACUGUGAAGUCUGAAAGGAAGACCAGUGGUUCUCGCUUUUCCUCUAGAUGCUGUGUCUCCCAAUGUCAUCUUCUUUCCUCUCAAAGACAAUUGGACGUUGUUACAGAUUUUCUUGGAAUGAGUAAAUACCUAGCAGUGGGAUUGCUGGAUCAUAUGAAAAUGCCAGACUAUAUUUCAUCAGCAACAUCGGAGAGUUCCAGUUGCUCUACACCCUCACUAGCACUUAAUAUUGUUGAUCGCUGCCUGGAUUCACAGAAGGACAAAUUACAAUGCAUUUUGAAAGACUCGUCUACAGUCAACUAAAAUACCAGUUAUCACAGACUUCACUGGCCUUAAUGAGGAGGCUGAGAGGGAUUUAAUUACUGGGACAUGCAACGCUUACACCAAACUCUGUUCGAUUCACGACUUGGAAAAGCAAAUGUGGAUACAGAUGAGUGUGGACAUGGCUUCAGUAGGAAAUGUCGAGUUUGUUCAUCACUCUGAAGUUUCUUCAGCUGCAACGGAAACUGCACCCUCCCUCCCGACUUGUUGGUUAUCUUGCUGUGCUCCCAAGAAGGUAUUUUCUGCUGACCUGAUAGAUCAGAUGUUUACCUGUUGGUCCCCAGCCUCACUCUUCUGAACCUCAGAUCCACUGAGUGUGUAUCCAGAGGUAAGUAUGUGGUAAGUAUGCUUGUCAUUUACAUUAUCUGUCAGCAUGAGUAUUGGUUUCCUAGAAACCUAAUAUUGAAAACACUUAGCAUUGCUAAAAGCAUUAAAUGAAAUAAAGACUCAAUAUAGCUGCACUAAUCUGUGCUUUCUAAAUUUACUGAUGGACGUGAAGAAAGUAGGUUGGCAUGGAGUUUAUACAAUUUAUGGAUCACACUGAUCUGAAUUCAGACAGUGUGUGCUCAGAUAAAAAUAUUGUUUCCUCCCAUGAGGUUUCCAAUUUUGCAGAGAAGAAUACCUCUGUUUAGCUCAUUACUUAACACAAUGGGUAGCUGGGUGGCCUUGCAUUCUGGAAGUGAAAUGACACAAGAAUGUCUCCACUGCAUUCUCCAGAGGUAAAGAUUCUCUGGCACAAAAUCACAACCAAGGUGGGGUUCCAAAACUAUAGAACAAAUGGCAGCAGCCAUGCAGCCAGCCUUGGUUCGGGUGGGCUGUAAAAGCAGAGGUUGUCCUCGUGUUAUCAGCACUGACUUCCUGUUGUGGCCACACUGACAGAGAUGAGAUGGCAGAAAGCAGGAAAGAGACCAGAGCUGCAAUUGACAGAUGGCUGGCCAAAGUUGAAGGGUCAGAGACUACACCAAAGACUUCUCAGAAAAUACUUGCCUAGGAGGCUCUCACUUGGAAAGAUAUUCAGGGUUGUUAAACAUAUCCUGUUAUUAGGAAAACGAGAGUUUUAUCUUUCUCUUACUCAGAAAGAAAAAACAAAAAGAAAAUUAGUGCUCUUAAGAAAAGCUAUUUUAAUGUUAUCCAUUAUAAAAUUAGAAAACCUUGAAAGGCAAAUGUUUCUUCUGACCAUUUACACUGAGCUUCUUUCAUUAUCUCAUAUGCAACCUUGUGGAUUGAAGGUGGAGAGUCCUUAGGAUUACCCAGGAACAUCCCUGUCUGCUCCCCCUGCUAGGCAGGAGGAGAUUUGAAACCACAUGUGUCUACUUCAUUUCUGUCACGGGUAGGACAGUGUCAUAUACUUUGUAGGUAACUCAAAGAUAUUAUAGGUAACUCAUAGAUAUUGAUUGAAUUAAUGUUUAAUAAAAUGAGAACACCAGCUCUGCUGUUAUCAUCAUCCUCAUUUCGAUUCGCUGAACUCUGCACCAAGGCCAAAUACAUUAUACUUUAGGCUUUGUUAAAGCCAUCUAUGUAAAGCUGGCUGAAGUCGAACUGUACAGUAAACAAGAGAUGGUAAUAGUCUCUGCAUGUGUUAUUUCUUUCAACUCCAAACCUCAAAGCAUUUUAGGAAGAAAUACUAUUUCAUCUUUAAAAAAAAAUAGAAAAAAGAAACUUCUGAAAAAUUAAUGCAAUCUAAAUAAUAGUCAUUAAAAAGUAAAUUAUGGUAAAAUGGCAUACUAUGCAGUCAUUAAAGAGACGAUGUUGCUCUAUACUUAUUUACAUAGAACAUUAUCCUUGGGAAAAAAACUUAUUUAAAAAAUAGAAACAGUUUAAAAUAUGUUUAAUAUAAUGCCUUUCGUAAAAAAAAAUGUAUGGGUAUAUGUGUAAAAAUGUGUAUGGGUGUGUGUGUGUUUGUAAAUAGGAAAUAAUUGGAAGAUAUUCAACACAAGUUUCCAUGGAUGAGAUGGGAGGCAGAUGAUAAGUGAUAUUUGUUUCUAUAUUGUAUGUAUUACUACAUUUUCUGUUUUUAUAGUAAUGAAAAAGUAUUAGUUUACAUUCUGAAAUAAAUGUAACUAGCUUAAAAUAAUAUGUAGCAGCAAUCUUAAAAAAUUUUUAUUUACUAAAAAUCUCAUCAUCCAAUAAUUAUUUAAAUACCUUUUCAUACUAUCUGUAUAAGUUAGCUAAUGUUUUAUAACAAAGCCUUGAAGUAGUAAUUUAUUAUUAUGGCCCAUGAAUCUGUGGGACACCUGAGGACUAAGUAUUGACUGACUUAGGUUGAGCUUCACUGACAUUAUAGACUGAAUUAUGGCCUUCAAAAUUCAUAUGUUGAAAUCCAAAUCCCCAGUACCUCAGAAUGUGAUUGUAUUCAGAGAUGGGGUCUUUAAAGAGGUAAUUAAGGUAAAGUGAGGUCAUAAGGGUGGGUUCUAAUCCAAUAAGAUUGGUAUCCUUAUAAAAAGAGGAGAUUUGGACACAAACCUGAGCAUAGAGAAAACACCAUGUGAACAUAAAGACAGCCAUCUACAAGGCACAGAGAGAGGCCUCAGAAGAAAUCAGACCUGCUGACACCUUGAUCUUAGAUCUCCAGCCUGCAGAACUGUUAGGAAAUAAAUGUCUGUUGUUUUAAUUUACAUAGUCUCUGAUACUUUGUUAUGGCAGCCCUAGCAAACUCACAAGCUGCUAUCAACUGGGGUCACAUUAUAGGUUGACUAGGAGACCUGCUCUAAGCUAGAUCUGUGUAGGGUACUUUAGCUGGGGGAACUCAUCUCCAAAUGUCUAAAUUUCUUCUUCAAGCACCUGUGAACUUCAAGCUCUGGCAUAUCCUUCUCAUGGAUGGCAAGAACACAAGAGAGAAAGUGGAAACAUGCAAAAUUUCUUGAGACCUAAUCUUGGAGCUAGCACACUGUCACUUCUGUCUCAUUCUGUUGGUUUAAGCAAUUCACAUGACUAAGCCUAAGAUAGAGAAUUAUGCUGUGUCUACUAUGGGAAAGCAUUGCAAAGUGGCAUGGUAAAGAGUGUAGAUGCCGGGGAGGGAGAGUAGGGCAGAGCAAUCAGGGCCAAUGAUAUAAUCUACCAUGAUACCUUAGUGUUCACAUAUCUGUUUAUAUUGCAGCAUUCUUAGUCCACAUACUGUAACUAUAUAUUUCCAAUUUCACUCAAUAUUUAAUCUUAUAUCACAUUUUUAACAUAAUUCAUUUUUUAUUUUAUCGAAUGCAUAAUAUAUAUAUUAAUUGAGACUUCAGAGGUACAUGGUCAAUUGCACAGUAGGAUAGUGAGGAACUAGAAUAAGGAAAAUCACAUUGAAAAUUUGUUCCAAAAAAUUAGUCAGUAAAAUUAGCACAUAAAUAAACCAAUAUAAAAGUUUAAUUCAAAUGGAAAAUUUCAUAACAGCACAGUAUAGUGUUUUGCACAUAGCAAGCACUCAAUCAUGUUUGUUGACUAGACUCUAUGUGAAUUUGUUUUGAAUGUGGGAACUGUUGCUAAAACAACACAUUCAAAAUGUGGAAAACCUCAUUUUUUGAAAUAAAGAACAACAGCAACAAUAAAAAAUACAUACAAAAUACUGAUGACAGUAUAAACUGUAAAAUGUCACAAUUUAGUAUCCAUCCUCAGCUUUCUGCUUAGAAACAUGUGGAAGCAUUUUACAGGCCUGUUAAAACUUUUUGAUCUACUUGGAUGAAAGAUUAGCUAAAAUUUAGCCAUUCUGUUACCACUUUAAAACUAUGAUUUUAUUUUUGCACUCCAAACACUUUUAAGUUACUGAAAAAUGAAUAAUCAAAGAAUUUUGUUUUCUGAAGAGAGAUAGCCUCAUUUUUCUAAGAGGAUCAAAGGAUGAGAAAGCUUUGUUGAAGGUUUCCUUCUAAGAGAAAGUAAAUCUUGGCUCCAAAUUCAUUUUCCAAAUCAGGAAGUAGAAAAUUUUUUCAGGAAAGGAUUGAACUAGGGAAGCAGAAAAAAAAAAUUUUCCACUGGUUAAUUAUUUUGAUAAUUUGGUUCUAAAAACAUUACCAGUAUAUAUAUUGCUAAAAAAAUAUUUUAGUGUCUUAUAUGGUAAGUAAUUCCAUCAUUUAAAAAGCAUGUGGAAAUUGCAAAGCUAAAUAGCAGACAUAUAUUUAUUAUAUUUGGUUCAUGCACAUACUCUAGGGAUAGCUAAAUGUGUGUAUAGUACUCUUUUGUAUCCUCUAUGAAACCUCUCCAAAGCUAUUAUGAAUUAUAUUGUUUAAAUAUGUCCUCACUCAGCUUCAUGAGAGUUAUUCCCAACUCAGUUUCAAACUGAACACAUGUUGCAUCUGUUUUCUGUUUGUGAAUAUUGAAUGUUUGGCACUUUCAUUGGGAUAUUUUUCUUUGGAAUGAAAUAAUUUCAAAUAUUCACUUAAUCAAAACAUCAGUUUCCUUUUCCAGUUUCCAUUGUGGAUUGUUGGUAGGUUUCCCAGACCAGCUCUCUUGUGCUGUGCAGAGGGACCCUCCUCCUCUUGGUGCAUAGGAAGGAACAGAGGGGAAAGGAAACAACAUCUGGACCAUGGGCUUGUCCCUUCUCCACAUCUUGUUCCUCUCUAGAUUUCACCUGACUUGAGGUCUCAUUCAAGUACUCUUGAAGAUUUUAACUGUUUUGUCCUCUUCUGAUUAUUUAUAACUUCCUUUUUUUCUUUUUGAAAAUGUUACUGGGAGCAGAAUAAUUGAAGUUCUGUGAAGCCACUGGAAACUCACUGCUCCCUCUCCUGCCAGUUUCAAUAAAAAGCUUUUUUUUUUUUUUUGAGGACCUAUAUCUUUGGGAUAUACAUGUUUAAGCAAAAUUAACCUGGCAGGGGAGAUACAUUGAGAAGGGUUGAUUGAAGCAGUAAGAGAUUGGAAGGGGGAAAGACAAACUCAGAGGCUCUGGCCACCAUGCAUGGAGGAAAUGAGGAAGAUUACUGCUGUAAAAUUCAGUGAAAAAAAUCCAUGUGCUACUAGGAAAAGCAUGGACUUCAAAAUCAGAAAAAUUGGAGUUGAAUCCCAGCCCAACAACUCAUAAACUCUGUGACUUCAAGCAAGGUACCCAACUUCCUUAAACCUCAUUUUCUCAACUUAUAAAAUGGAUGUGAAAUCAGCAUACAUAAUUGUUAUAAAGACUAAAUUAUAAAGGUUUUUAAAUGCUUAGUGUUUUGAUCAGUUUAAAUUGCUACAACAGAACACCAUAGACUGUGUUAAACAACAAACAUUAUUUUUCACACUUCUAAAGGCAAGGGAGUCUAAGAUAAAGACAUCAAGAGAUUUGGUGUUAGAUGAGGGCCCACUACUUGGUUUAUAGAUGGCCAUCUUCUCACUGUAUCUUCACCUAACAGAAAAAGAGCAAGAGAGCAAUCUGCAGUCCCUUUCAUACAGGCACUAAUCUCAUUCAUGAGGGCUCCACCCUCAUUACAUAAUUAUCUCCCAAAGGCUUCUCCUAAUACUAUCACGUUGGAGGUUAGAAUUUCAACUUACGAAUUUUAUGGGAGGAAAAAAAAUGUUCAGUUUAUAACACCUAGUAUAUAAUAGAUGUUCAAUGUUAAUAUAUGAUUUUAAAUGGACAUAUUUGAGAGAUAUUAUAAAGGAAGAAACAAAUGAAUAAUGGACUGAAUAUAGGAAACCAGGGAGAAAGAUACUCAAAGACGGGGAGGUAACUAGGUUAUUGACACACAUGUUGUAGUUGGGAAAGAGAGUCAAUUUGGAGUAAAAGCUAAUGAAUUUAACAUUGAACACAUUGAGCUUGAAGCAAUGGCAGGAUAUCUGAGUAAAUGUGUGCAGAAUGUAGUUGGAAAUACAGUACUGGAACACAUGUGAGAGGUUACAGGGGGG